GACGAACGCUGGCGGCGUGCUUAACACAUGCAAGUCGAACGGAAAGGCCCUGCUUUUGUGGGGUGCUCGAGUGGCGAACGGGUAAGUAACACGUGAGUAACCUGCCCUUGACGUUGGGAUAACUUCAGGAAACUGGGGCUAAUACCGGAUAGGAGCUCCUGCUGCAUGGUGGGGGUUGGAAAGUUUCGGCGGUUGGGGAUGGACUCGCGGCUUAUCAGCUUGUUGGUUGGGUAGUGGCUUACCAAGGCCUUGACGGGUAGCCGGCCUGAGAGGGUGACCGGCCAAAUUGGGACUGAGAUACGGCCCAGACUCCUACGGGAGGCAGCAGUGGGGAAUAUUGUACAAUGGGCGGAAGCCUGAUGCAGCAAAGCCGCGUGCGGGAUGACGGCAUUCGGGUUGUAUACCGCUUUCGCCUGUGACGAAGCGUGAGUGACGGUAAUGGGUAAAGAAGCACCGGCUAACUACGUG
rnacentral:rRNA from 1 species